rnacentral:lncRNA from 13 species
ACUUGCUGGUAAAUCAAGCUUUAAGUUACUGGUUUCCUUUGCCAAGGUCAAUAGUGUCACUACCCCACUUAUGAAGAAAUGACUUAUGAAGAAAAAUGACUUAUGAAGAAAAAUAUGAAACCAAAUGAAAGAUAUUGACUUGAUCAUCAGUUCUUCAGGAAAACGUUCUUUCCUUAACUAGGCUACAACUAAGUCUAUUUUCCUUACCCACUGCUCCAGAAUCCAGGAUAGUGACUGGCACAGAGUUGACAGCUAUUAAACAUUUUUUAAAAAUGAACAAAUAAACAAGAGCCCUUGAGUAAUAGGAGUAGAAGCUGAUAUAAAAUGUUUGAACUUAAAGUGAGUAUAUCCUUUGACUUGCUACUCAUUUGUGGUAAUUUAUUCUGAGUUGUGCAAUGAUAAAUGUCAUAUUCAAUAAACUUGAAGAUAGUGGAAACUCA